rnacentral:misc_RNA from 1 species
GAAAUGCGAUAAGUAAUGUGAAUUGCAGAAUUCAGUGAAUCAUCGAAUCUUUGAACGCACCUUGCGCUCCUUGGUAUUCCUUGGAGCAUGCCUGUUUGAGUAUCAUGUAAUCUUCAAAGUAAAUCUUUUGUUAACUCAAUUGGUUUCUACUUUGGUAUUGGAGGUCUUUGCAGCUUCACACCUGCUCCUCUUUGUUCAUUAGCUGGAUCUCAGUGUUAUGCGUGGUUCCACUCGGCGUGAUAAGUUAUCUAUCGCUGAGGACACUGUAAAAGGUGGCCAAGGUAAAUGCAGAUGAACCGCUUCUAAUAGUCCAUUGACUUGGACAAUACUUUUAUGAUCUGAUCUCAAAUCAGGUAGGACUACCCGCUGAACUUAAGC